rnacentral:rRNA from 1 species
GAGUUUGAUCGUGGCUCAGAUUGAACGCUGGCGGCAUGCCUUACACAUGCAAGUCGAACGGCAGCAUGAUCUAGCUUGCUAGAUUGAUGGCGAGUGGCGAACGGGUGAGUAAUACAUCGGAACGUGCCCUGUAGUGGGGAUAACUAGUCGAAAGAUUAGCUAAUACCGCAUACGACCUGAGGGUGAAAGUGGGGGACCGCAAGGCCUCAUGCUAUAGGAGCGGCCGAUGUCUGAUUAGCUAGUUGGUGGGGUAAAGGCCCACCAAGGCGACGAUCAGUAGCUGGUCUGAGAGGACGAUCAGCCACACUGGGACUGAGACACGGCCCAGACUCCUACGGGAGGCAGCAGUGGGGAAUUUUGGACAAUGGGCGAAAGCCUGAUCCAGCAAUGCCGCGUGUGUGAAGAA